AUUGAACGCUGGCGGCAGGCCUAACACAUGCAAGUCGAGCGGAUGAAGGGAGCUUGCUCCUGGAUUCAGCGGCGGACGGGUGAGUAAUGCCUAGGAAUCUGCCUGGUAGUGGGGGAUAACGUCCGGAAACGGGCGCUAAUACCGCAUACGUCCUGAGGGAGAAAGUGGGGGAUCUUCGGACCUCACGCUAUCAGAUGAGCCUAGGUCGGAUUAGCUAGUUGGUGGGGUAAAGGCCUACCAAGGCGACGAUCCGUAACUGGUCUGAGAGGAUGAUCAGUCACACUGGAACUGAGACACGGUCCAGACUCCUACGGGAGGCAGCGGUGGGGAAUAUUGGACGAUGGGCGAAAGCCUGAUCCAGCCAUGCCGCGUGUGUGAAGAAGGUCUUCGGAUUGUAAAGCACUUUAAGUUGGGAGGAAGGGCAGUAAGUUAAUACCUUGCUGUUUUGACGUUACCAACAGAAUAAGCACCGGCUAACUUCGUG
rnacentral:rRNA from 1 species